AGUGAACGCUGGCGGUAGGCCUAACACAUGCAAGUCGAACGGCAGCACAGUAAGAGCUUGCUCUUACGGGUGGCGAGUGGCGGACGGGUGAGGAAUACAUCGGAAUCUACUUUUUCGUGGGGGAUAACGUAGGGAAACUUACGCUAAUACCGCAUACGACCUACGGGUGAAAGCAGGGGAUCUUCGGACCUUGCGCGACUGAAUGAGCCGAUGUCGGAUUAGCUAGUUGGCGGGGUAAAGGCCCACCAAGGCGACGAUCCGUAGCUGGUCUGAGAGGAUGAUCAGCCACACUGGAACUGAGACACGGUCCAGACUCCUACGGGAGGAAGCAGUGGGGAAUAUUGGACAAUGGGGGCAAGCCUGAUACAGCCAUACCGCGUGGGUGAAGAAGGCGUUCGGGUUGUAAAGCCCUGUUGUUGGGAAAGAAAAGCAGCAGGUUAAUAACCCGCUGUUCUGACGGUACCCAAAGAAUAAGCACCGGCUAACUUCGUG
rnacentral:rRNA from 1 species